rnacentral:rRNA from 1 species
CAGUAGCCGCGGUAAUACGAAGGUCCCGAGCGUUGUUCGGAAUCACUGGGCGUAAAGGGAGCGUAGGCGGCGUGGUAAGUCAGAUGUGAAAUCCCGGGGCUCAACCUCGGAACUGCAUCCGAUACUGCCAUGCUAGAGGAUUGGAGAGGUAGCUGGAAUUCUUGGUGUAGCAGUGAAAUGCGUGGAGAUCAAGAGGAACACUCGUGGCGAAAGCGAGCUACUGGACAAUAACUGACGCUGAGGCUCGAAGGCCAGGGUAGCGAAAGGGAUUAGAUACCCGUGUAGUCCCUGUCUCUUAUAC